rnacentral:sRNA from 1 species
UUGAACCCAUCGCAACAGGGGCAAGACCAGGAGGCCAGUCAUGUUUUUCGAUAAUGUGGUGUUUGCCGGGGUGUUGACGGUCGGCCUCAUGGUCGUGUUUUUCGCAGGCUUUGGAUUAUUCAUCUGGAAAGACGCGCACAAGCGGAAAAAACCGUAGGUCUUUCCGGCUACAACGAGCACGCAAGGCAUUUUGGGCGACUUCGGUCGCCCUUUUUUUUG